CAUCCCUCACCUCUAUUGCGUUCAGAUACCUACAAAAAAAGGAGCCCUCAAUGCUGAACCCAGUUACUCAUUCCAAAUUUCCGGUUUCCUUUAAAGAUUAUGGCUGCUGCUGUAACUGCGAGAACUGUUCGUGUUGUCAUUGUUGUUUUUGAUGGACCCAGU